rnacentral:rRNA from 1 species
GACGAACGCUGGCGGCGUGCCUAAUACAUGCAAGUAGAACGCCGAAGGAGGAGCUUGCUUCUCUGGAUGAGUUGCGAACGGGUGAGUAACGCGUAGGUAACCUGCCUGUUAGCGGGGGAUAACUAUUGGAAACGAUAGCUAAUACCGCAUAAUAGCAGUUGUUGCAUGACAACUGUUUGAAAGGUGCAAUUGCACCACUACCAGAUGGACCUGCGUUGUAUUAGCUAGUUGGUGGGGUAACGGCUCACCAAGGCGACGAUACAUAGCCGACCUGAGAGGGGGAUCGGCCACACUGGGACUGAGACAAGGCCCAGACUCCUACGGGAGGCAGCAGUAGGGAAUCUUCGGCAAUGGACGGAAGUCUGACCGAGCAACGCCGCGUGAGUGAAGAAGGUUUUCGGAUCGUAAAGAUCUGUUGUAAGAGAAGAACGAGUGUGAGAGUGGAAAGUUCACACUGUGACGGUAUCUUACCAGAAAGGGACGGCUAACUACGUG